UUCCUGUGAAGGAGAGAGGGGAGAAGGGUCAGCGGGCUAUUGGGACGGGUGGGAAAGAUUGGUGAUAGGGGCUUAAAAAGGAAUGGGGAACAAAUGCACACAUUUAAGUAAACAGCAAGACCCUGGAACAGCUGUGAGAGAGCGAUGAGUAGCUGCUAUCUAUGCAAUCACACCCCUCCCCCGAAUUAUUUUGCAAAAGCAACUCCAAGGCUGUACAAAUACUUAAAAAAAAAUUCUUUUUAGCUGAGCGCUUCGCAGCCCCACGGUGGGGGGCCUGAUGCGGUGAGACCCUUUCCGCGGGAGUAGAGUGGGAACGUUAAUUCCACGGCGGCCGCGCAAUGGGAGCUGACAAGGCAGCCAGAGCACUUGAGGAAACGAAAGUUAUUUUUGACAGUCCUGGCUAAAGCUCGCCACGAGGGGGCAGCAAAGCUCGAGCGUGGAAAUGGAGGCGUUUGUGGGGUGUUUGCCAGACGGUGGUGAUUUUAGCCGAUAUCUCACUCUUGAGAGUAACAAAAGCACAGAGAUGCUGCUGCUGGUGUCCCGAAGCCGUCUGGGCCCAUAUGCUGCUAGCCUGUUACCUGCAAUGGUGCCUGACGAAGUCAUCGCAGAGUGACGUAGGGAAGUGUCUAUGGAGGAAGAAAUAAGGCUGCCGUCCCAAGAAUCCUUCAGGAGAGGAUUGCAGAGUGCCUCCAUGAAUGUUCCAUCAAGGUCUCUCAGGAGGACUCAAGGGACAUCCCUGUGUACAUAAACAAACUGCUUCACAUGGCCCCCGCCUAACUCUAGAGGGGAAUGAAAAGCAGACAACAACUCUACUUGUGUUUGUUGUACCACUACCUCUUCUAGUAAGAGUAAAUUAAUGAAAAGUCGAUACCUGCCAUCCUCCUAAGCUGGGAGUCAGGCACCAAUGGGAAAAGCAUUCACGCACUUGCCAGAGAUUCUUCCUGUGCAUUGGGCUUGCCUGUGCUCAGCUACUGGGACUAGCUAAACUGCAGUCCUUCACAUCACACGGCACUGCUGCUGAGCCCUAUUAUACCCUUUCAGCUGCAUCCUCCAUGCAAUCUGUGGAUGUCCACAUGUCUACAGCUGAUCUGUUGCUGUGCCCGCACAGCCUCUUCUCCCCACAGUACCCAGGAGAUCCAAUACCUCAUCUCCUCCAGACAGGAGUGUGUCUGGAGCAUGGAGACAGCAUGGUUGGUCAGGUAGUUGCACACGAGGGAGAGCUGCUAGGUGUGCCUGCCGAAGUUGGUAAUCGGAAAAAGGCAUUUCAAAAAUAUGUUGGAUUUUUGAAGGAGAUGUGGCUUAUGGUCUCUGCGAUCCCAAGGCAUUAGAGUUCACAACUGUGACCAGAGCAGUCACGGUCGGGCAUUGAGAGACAACUGCUAGAGGACUGCUGGGGCUGACACAGGUCACGCAAUGUCUACAUUCACACUGAGUCAACCUCAGUACGUCGACCAUGGCUUGACACCAGAGGUACUGAUGUUAUUGCAUUGCUAUAAUGGGGUGUUUACGUUGGCGGGAGAGAAAUUUUGAGUGUAAAUAUGCACAAUCAAGUAGAUGCAAGGCAGCUUACAUCAACCUAACUUUGUAGUGUAGACCAUGCCUAUGACUCCUCAGACCCUUCUCCUAUUAUUCUGUGAACUGCUACCUAGUCAUCAUAAGUAGAAGCCACAAGACAAAGACUCCAAGAAGAAAGAACAGUUAGACUUUGUAGUAACAGUGUUUCUUCAAGAUGUUUUGCACAUGUGGAUCCCACAGCUUGUCCUCCAUCUGUGCUCCUUUGGAGCCCAUCUCUCCUGAAUUAGCAAGAGAACUGAGAGUCUGUCAGGCUGUUCUGUCCUAUAUGCCUUGGGGAAGGGUGGCAGGGGUGUGGCACGAAGACCUUCAGGGUAGGUCUACACUGCAGUCAGGCACCCACAGCUGGCCUGUGCCAGUUGACUCAGGCUCGCGGGGGUCAGGUGCUGUUUAAUUGCGGUAUAGAUGUUCAGGUGCAGGCUACAGCCUGAGUUCUGGGACCCUCCCUCCUUGCAGGGUCCUAGAGCCCAGGCUGCAGCCUGGCCCUGCAAUGUCUACGCUGCAAUCAAACAGUCUCUUACUCCGAGCAUCUUAGCCCAAGUCAGCUGUGUGUUUUUAACUGCAGUGUAGACAUACCCUCAGGGUGCAGGCCUGGCUAGCGGUCACCGGUGGUCAAAGAUUCUGAUGCUUUUAUUUGGCUUUUUUACAGUUGGCACCUUUAUUUGCAACACAAGUCAUUCUCCCCCCCUCUGUCUCUGAAUAUGUGUGUUCCAAGAAUCAAGUCUUGUUUGUGAUGUAUUCUUCUGUAAAUUGGCUACCUCUCAACGCUA